rnacentral:rRNA from 1 species
GUUGAACGCUGGCGGCAGGCCUAACACAUGCAAGUCGAGCGGAUGAAGGGAGCUUGCUCCUGGCUUCAGCGGCGGACGGGUGGGUAAUGCCUAGGAAUCUGCCUGGUAGUGGGGGAUAACGUCCGGAAACGGGCGCUAAUACCGCAUCCGUCCUGAGGGAGAAAGUGGGGGAUCUUAGGACCUCACGCUAUCAGCUGAGCCUAGGUCGGAUUAGCUAGUUGGUGGGGUAAAGGCCUACCAAGGCGACGAUCCGUAACUGGUCUGAGAGGAUGAUCAGUCACACUGGAACUGAGACACGGUCCAGACUCCUACGGGAGGCAGCAGUGGGGAAUAUUGGACAAUGGGCGAAAGCCUGAUCCAGCCAUGCCGCGUGUGUGAAGAAGGUCUUCGGAUUGUAAAGCACUUUAAGUUGGGAGGAAGGGCAGUAAGUUAAUACCUUGCUGUUUUGACGUUACCAACAGAAUAAGCACCGGCUAACUUCGUG